UACGUAGGGGGCGAGCGUUGUCCGGAAUUAUUGGGCGUAAAGCGCGCGCAGGCGGCCUCUUAAGUCUGAUGUGAAAUCCCGUGGCUUAACCACGGGCGGUCAUUGGAAACUGGGGGACUUGAGUGCAGAAGAGAAGAGCGGAAUUCCACGUGUAGCGGUGAAAUGCGUAGAGAUGUGGAGGAACACCAGUGGCGAAGGCGGCUCUUUGGUCUGUAACUGACGUUGAGGCGCGAAAGCGUGGGGAGCGAACAGG
rnacentral:rRNA from 1 species